rnacentral:rRNA from 1 species
GCGCUAUCGGAUGAGCCUAUGUCGGAUUAGCUGGUUGGUGAGGUAAUGGCUCACCAAGGCGACGAUCCGUAGCUGGUCUGAGAGGAUGAUCAGCCACAUCGGGACUGAGACACGGCCCGAACUCCUACGGGAGGCAGCAGUGGGGAAUAUUGGACAAUGGGCGCAAGCCUGAUCCAGCCAUGCCGCGUGUGUGAAGAAGGCCCUCGGGUUGUAAAGCACUUUCAGUGGGGAAGAAAGCCUUGGGGCUAAUACCCUCGAGGAAGGACAUCACCCACAGAAGAAGCACCGGCUAACUCCGUGCCAGCAGCCGCGGUAAUACGGAGGGUGCGAGCGUUAAUCGGAAUUACUGGGCGUAAAGCGCGCGUAGGUGGCUUGAUAAGCCGGUUGUGAAAGCCCCGGGCUCAACCUGGGAACGGCAUCCGGAACUGUCAGGCUAGAGUGCAGGAGAGGAAGGUAGAAUUCCCGGUGUAGCGGUGAAAUGCGUAGAGAUCGGGAGGAAUACCAGUGGCGAAGGCGGCCUUCUGGACUGACACUGACACUGAGGUGCGAAAGCGUGGGUAGCAAACAGGAUUAGAUACCCUGGUAGUCCACGCCGUAAACGAUGUCGACUAGCCGUUGGGAGCCUCGAGUUCUUAGUGGCGCAGUUAACGCGAUAAGUCGACCGCCUGGGGAGUACGGCCGCAAGGUUAAAACUCAAAUGAAUUGACGGGGGCCCGCACAAGCGGUGGAGCAUGUGGUUUAAUUCGAUGCAACGCGAAGAACCUUACCUACCCUUGACAUCGUGCGAACUUGGUAGAGAUACCUUGGUGCCUUCGGGAACGCACAGACAGGUGCUGCAUGGCUGUCGUCAGCUCGUGUUGUGAAAUGUUGGGUUAAGUCCCGUAACGAGCGCAACCCUUGUCCCUAUUUGCCAGCGAUUCGGUCGGGAACUCUAGGGAGACUGCCGGUGACAAACCGGAGGAAGGUGGGGACGACGUCAAGUCAUCAUGGCCCUUACGGGUAGGGCUACACACGUGCUACAAUGGUCGGUACAAAGGGUUGCAAAGCGGCGACGUGGAGCUAAUCCCAUAAAGCUGAUCUCAGUCCGGAUCGGAGUCUGCAACUCGACUCCGUGAAGUCGGAAUCGCUAGUAAUCGUGAAUCA